GACGAACCGUCCAAACGUUAUUCGGUAUCACUGGGCUUAAAGGGUGCGUAGGCGGUGCGGUAAGUGAGGUGUGAAAUCCCUCGGCUCAACCGAGGAAUUGCGCUUCAUACUGCCGUGCUGGAGGGAGACAGGGGUAAGCGGAACUGAUGGUGGAGCGGUGAAAUGCGUUGAUAUCAUCAGGAACACCGGUGGCGAAAGCGGCUUACUGGGUCUUCUCUGACGCUGAGGCACGAAAGCUAGGGUAGCGAACGGG
rnacentral:rRNA from 1 species